rnacentral:rRNA from 1 species
GACGAACGCUGGCGGCGUGCUUAACACAUGCAAGUCGAACGGAAAGGCCCUGCUUUUGUGGGGUGCUCGAGUGGCGAACGGGUGAGUAACACGUGAGUAACCUGCCCUUGACUUUGGGAUAACUUCAGGAAACUGGGGCUAAUACCGGAUAGGAGCUCCUGCUGCAUGGUGGGGGUUGGAAAGUUUCGGCGGUUGGGGAUGGACUCGCGGCUUAUCAGCUUGUUGGUGGGGUAGUGGCUUACCAAGGCUUUGACGGGUAGCCGGCCUGAGAGGGUGACCGGCCACAGUGGGACUGGGAAACGGCCCAGACUCAUACGGGAGGCAGCAGUGGGGAAUAUUGCAAAAUGGGCGGAAGCCGGAUGCAGCAACGCCGCGUGGGGGAUGACGGCCUUCGGGUUGUAAACCGCUUUCGCCUGUGACGAAGCGUGAGUGACGGUAAUGGGUAAAGAAGCACCGGCUAACUACGU